ACUCAUUUUCUGGGCGGGCUCCAAACCUUGCGAUGUUGAAAUGGAUUUCAUUGCUCAGCUUCCCUCCACAGAAGACCUUCCCCACCAACUGUUAUUGAUGAGAUGGACCCUGCUUUCAGGAAACGUCAACCUAUUGGAUUACUUCUGGUUUAAACCACGCUGAUGGAGAAACACACAGCUUGGGUCAAAUUUAUCCUCUCCUUGGAAUGCUGCCUCUCUGCAGACAGUUCUGCAGACUAGAAGGAGAUGCUGGUAGCCAUCAGCCCUUUUAUGAUGAGUAAAAUGAGGCCAGGAUAGAAAAAAUAUCCAGUAAGAGGCAGUAAGCAGAACCAGACGUCAAGAUGGUGGUCCUGAGUUCCAGCCUUGGAUGCCCCCAAGUCUGUGGAGAAGGUGAAGACAUAGCUGGGGUCACCUCAGGUACCAUCAGCCAUGAGGAGACAGAGGCUGAAGGAGAGUAAGUGAUGUGUCCAAAAGACACGAUGUUACUGGCCGCCUUGGGACUUGAACGCCAUCUGUUUGACAUCAGUAUCUGGGCUUUUAAUCACUUUGGCUGUGAUAUGUAUGGGCUCUGAGAACAUGUCCUGUGUUUGAUUCUUGGCCCAUCACUUUCUGGCUUUGUGAUCUUGGGAACCUCCUGCUCUCUGAGCUUCAAUUCCCUGAUUUGCAAAACAGGGAUAGUAAACACUGCCUCAAAAGAUUGUUGUAAGGAUUAUAUGGGAUAAUCUAUGUACAUGCCUGUCACAUAGUAGGUGCCAAUGUAUGUUAGUUCUCUUCUAUUUAAAAAUAAGGUAACAAAAAAAAUGAACCAACAAAUAAGUACUUGUCCCUCAAACCUGCCCUGUUGGAUCACCCUUCCCUGCUCCGGGCCACAUCCUAUAGCUUUUUCCAGUCACUUUCAGAUAUUGGAAGUUUUAUUUUCAGGUAUUAAAAAGUCCAGGAGGAUCUAAGUCAAUACUUUCAUUUCACAUCUAAUUUGAGCUUUUCUUUUUCUUCCCUGCCUGUGCUCAGUAGCCAGUGGAGGUGAGAGGGUGGUUGUUUAUUUCUUUAAGUUCCCUGUUGCAUCACAUCCCACCUACUGGCUACUGCCUGCGGCUCCUCUAGGGCUGGGGCUGGAGAAGAAAUAAGAGGAAAGGCACAUCUGACUCCAUUGAUGCUGCUGUAAUUUGGUAGCAGGGUCCUCCACAUGCUCUGUGGGCAUCCAAAUGCUGGCUCUUGCCCUCAUGGAGUACUUUUGAGGGUUCUUCAAAGGUUUCCCAGAAGGUGGUCCUCCUACACUGGGGUCUCUGGAUGACCUCCAAUGACUUCCCCUAAACUCCUUCUCCAGUGUCACCCCCCCACCCCAGUCUCUGUGCUGGAGUCACUUCACUGCAGCAAGGCAUCCUCUAGGGCAGAUCCCGUUCAGGACAACUCAAGUCCAGCUCCUACCGUGACAUCCAUUUAUCCCAGGGAAGGUUCCACCAGACUCAGGACACUCAGACUUUCAUACAAGUGGCUCCAGCUUGCCCCUUGCCUUCUGAUUUUGCUAGGUGAGCAUCAGAUGCCAGUCUCCCAUCUCUAUGGCCCUCAAGCUCUCCAGGUUCUCCAGAAACUCUUGCUCCUGUCCCAUGGAGCAAAGAUUCCCUUCUCCCCUUUACAAUACCUUCUAGAAGUGAUUCUCUUUAAGGCUGAGAUGAGGGGGCAACAAUCAGGACCCCUUCCUAGGCCAACAGCUUCCAGUGAAUUCCCUGUUUGACCAUCCUUAAUUAACCUCCAGCCUUCUCUUCUAUAUGAGAUUGAGGUGGGUGAUGGUGAAGGUCACAAGUUGGAUUUCCCUAUUUCUUGGUAAGCCCUGCAGAUGAUAUGUGUCUAAUCACCCUCUUUAGAAUGUAUGGGGACUUAGUCAUCAUUUUUCUCAGCUUUGGGACCUCAGUCUAAAUGCCAAAAUAAUAAAAAAUAUUUCUAUUUAACAUACAGUUGCAAUUCUCUCUCCUAUGUACAUUGCACACAGUGUUCAAAGUCCAAUGGUAUUCCAAGAGUAAUAACAGAAAAGAACAAUUGCCUCUCCCAUCCAUCCUGUCUCUGUGUCCCUCUUCCCAAAAGCAACCACUUCCAAUAUUUUCUGCAAUUUAUUUUGAUAAUUAUGUCCUUAUUUCUCAAUAACAUACGUGUGAUUAUUUCUCAAUUUCUGAAUUUUAGGUAUUAUCGUUGUCUUCCUAAAUAGGAGAGGAGAAUUCAAAUCUUCCACUGCACUCCCUCCUUUCACCCACCCCUACCACAAAUGUUUCCUUUCCCCCACCUUCCUAAUAUGGUUAUAUGACAUUUUUUGGAUUAAAUAGUGUAUCUGUUAUUGUUGCUAUGUAAAUGUUAACAGUUUAA